rnacentral:tRNA from 1 species
GCCCGGAUGGCGGAAUUGGUAUACGCUGCAGACUUAAAAUCUGCCGCUCGCAAGGGCUUGUGGGUUCGAGUCCCACUCCGGGCA